GGUUCUGUGGCUCAACUAGUAGACCGUCUGACUCCAGAUAGGAAGGUUACGUGUUCGAGUCACGUCGGGGUCA